CAGGGCUUGACAUCCCGGCGACCGGCUUAGAGAUAAGCUUUUCCCUUCGGGGACCCCGGUGACAGGUGGUGCAUGGUUGUCGUCAGCUCGUGUCGUGAGAUGUUGGGUUAAGUCCCGCAACGAGCGCAACCCUUAUUGUUAGUUGCUACGCAAGAGCACUCUAGCGAGACUGCCGUUGACAAAACGGAGGAAGGUGGGGACGACGUCCAAUCAUCAUGCCCCUUAUGUCCUGGGCCACACACGUACUACAAUGGUGGUUAACAGAGGGAAGCAAUACCGCGAGGUGGAGCAAAUCCCUAAAAGCCAUCCCAGUUCGGAUCGCAGGCUGCAACCCGCCUGCGUGAAGUUGGAAUCGCUAGUAAUCGCGGAUCAGCAUGCCGCGGUGAAUACGUUCCC
rnacentral:rRNA from 1 species